rnacentral:lncRNA from 1 species
UGAAUGGAUGGAUGAUGUACUCAAUCAGCAGCUCCAUCCAUCCAAGUUCAAAAUUAUUAUAUUUGUCCUAUAAAGUUUAGUUCACAGUGAAAGCGUCAACAGUUUUCCAACAUAGCCAAUCAGCUCAAGCCUUGCAAGAUAAAAACGCGUGAAUUAAAAUAAAUAGCCUAUAAUUUAAAGUAAAUGAGCAGAGUUUGGUCACAGUUGUCCGUCAGAAGGAGGCAGAAGAGUCAGCGGUCAGACAAUGACCUGCUCACCAGGUGAAGUGAGACGCUGUUGAACUUUGACCCUCGGUGCCUGGCUGUGCCCGCACAGGCUGCCCCGGCCAGCUGGGUGACUCUGCCCGCAGUGAGAGCGAUGCCCAGGGACGGCCUGGCUGAGCCGGUUUGAAAAGCAUGUCAACAAGUGACGCAGCAGAGUUGGAGCUCAGAGCCGGAGGAGGAGGAGGAGGUCCGGCUGCUGCUCCUCCGUACGCUCACACUACACGGACCGUCACCACAGCCACACGUGAACACCACGAUGAAGCAUCUGGAGAGAAGCCGACGAAUCGUCAUCAUGAUGAAACGCAGCGAUCAACCGUCAGACAGGAACAAACGCACAAAGCAUCGACUUUAAGAGCAGACGAAGCUUCUCAUCAUAACGACCGGAGGUCCCACGAGCUCAGGUUCACCACCUCCCUCCUGCUCAGGCUCUCCAACAGUCUCGGCCUCGCGAGGGCAAAUCUGAAAUCAAAGAGCAUUUCAGAGCAGAGACCUCCGAGAUUGAUUGAAACACAGAAGCCUAAGACCAAGGACAGCCCUGAUGAGACAUCCUGCCAGACAUCCAUAGCAAAGACCAACACUUCUUUAUCUGGGACAUUAUCAUCAUCAUCGACAGCCAACAAGAAAAAUCAGGUCACUCCGGGUGUUUCUGAAGAACAGGAGAUCAUAAACAUUGAACCACACAAGCACCAGAGUGGAAAUCAACCUGAGACUUGCACUUAUUUUACUGAGAAACCUUCAACGGAAAAUUUUAAGGACCAAACUGAACUUGGCAGACACUCUGACCUCUCAGGACAGAUGUUGUCCUCCACUGUGGUGACUGUUCUGGCACCUCACUGGGGUAGCCGAUCACGGCGGCCAAAGAAAGGGGACGGACCUGGUUGCUCAGGGGCACAUUGGAACCUACAAGAGCCUAACAGUGACCCUGUUUUUCAUGGUGUGAAAGACUUGUUUACAAGUGGAUCCCAAGACACAGUAAGGGUACCGUCUCCUGGUCCCAGGAGUAACAGUGUUAGCUGGUCAACUAAAAGUGAGCCUGUUAGCUUGGUCCCGAGAAGAAAAAUUACUCAAACAACCUCUUUGGAAUCCCGCUCUGGAAGAAUGGACAACCAAAAGAGGGAUGCACGAGCUCCGUCAUCAGCACGUCCACCUUUUCUUCCUCAUGAUGAACAAAAAGGAGCAUCACAAAAAAGUCACCAAGCACACCUGUCAUCUUCAAGCUCAAAGCCAACAACUAGCAGCCUUUUGUUGUCUUUGAGAAGGUUCAACUCCGACGGCAGAAGCCCUCCCCCUCUUAACAGUUCAAGUGAUCAAAAUGGAAAGUUGUUCUCCCCACAUCUAUCUCAAAGCGUUCGCAAUAAAAAUGAACAGGAGAGGUCCAAGUCUUUUCUUUCUCCAACAUCUACAGCCUAUAGUUCACCAGAUGCCCAAACAUUUCUUUCACCGCCAUUCAAUGAUCAAAUGCAAUGGACUCCAUCAAACACAAUCUUCUUCCCAACAUCCCCAAUGGAAAAGGAUGCAGUGGAACGACCCUUCACCCAACACGGUCAACGAAUAAACAAGACUCAAUCUAGUUUUUCAUUCCACAAUUCUACAAACAAAGAGAUGACGAUUGGGCAAAAUAAUGGCAUUCCACACCUGCACACGGAGACCUCCAUUUCAUCACCAAAACAUGCAUCCUACAAUCACAACUACUCACAAAAAACCGUCCCUCGAGCCACGCUGACCUCCACUUCAUGGUGGAAACAAGUUACCCACGAGGGCAGUCGCAAUGUGACAAAAAACAGCACAGACGCGCCAAACACACCCUUCAUUCAGAAACAUCUUGAUGAUCGAGACAUGGCUUAUUUAAAUUCAACUGACAACAAAGGGUUAGGAAGUCAAAUUCCUAGCAACAGUGACAACAGCAACACAGUGGAGUCACUAUAUGAAGUAAACAUGAACCUUGGUAUGCAGAUACAUAGAGGAAAUCCUGAUCUUAAACAGAGAGAUGCCAAGUAUUUCCCAGGUCAAGACUCUGACAGGAUGAUGACACUUUCUAACUGUUCAAAUCUAAAAAGCAGAAAUACACCAAAGCCUCAAAGUAUGCCUGAUGUUUUAUAUUCUCAGAAAAUAAACAGAGCACCUUUACAAUCAGUCCAGAUGCACUGUGUUGACCCCCAAAAGCAUGAAAUAAAUCACAGGCCCUAUACCACACAAACAAAUGAAGUACCCGUUAAUUAUCUAAACCCUAGAAGCCCAAACCCUAGGAGCCCAAACACAGUUACGGACAAUGUCAACAGCAGUAAUCAAUGCAAACCAAUCUCCCCCAUAACUCCCAUUGCAACACACAAGUUUAUGAGACUAUCUUCAUUUCAUGAUUUUACAAACACACCCAACCGUCAAGUGUUCUCACCAGUUCCAAACACAAAUACAAACCUCUCCUCCCAGUUCCCUCCAAGUUCACCUCAGGUCGCCCCUCAGACAUCACACACUAGCACUUCUUCACAAACAAGGAAAUCCCCAGAGAUAACUAAUACCUCUCCUCUUGGUUUUGAACGAAGCUAUGCCUCUAUUCCUAAACCAUCUCAGGCAAAAAUCAUGUCCAGUCUGAUGUCCACACUAACUUCUUCACCCCAAGCCAAAUACAGCUCCUUACCCACCUCCUCUACAACCUCUCUUGGAACCACUAAUAACCAUCUUGUGUCUAACAAUCCCACUUCGACUGCUUUAGCUACAGGGUCCCUUACCCCGGUCAAUGUUUCCUAUUUUUUAACACCACCAACAACUCCAGUUGUUACAAACUCAGAAAUGUCAACCUUGACGGGACGUAAAACAUAUUCAAACAGCCUCGAGAGGCAACCUAAGAAACGACAAGAAACAGAGGUGAAAAAAGCAAGACGGGUUACAUGGCAUGAUUCGGUAGAAGUCAAAUGUCCAGAGCCCAUUAAAAAGGAGAAUUCAUUUGUAACUCCAUCAAAGUCAGUUCAAAGCACCCAAUCAGAUUUUACUUCUCUAAAACCAAACAACCCAAACAUCGAUACAUCUAUUUUUUCCCUAAAGAGUUCAAAACUACCAGAGGAAAAAGGAGGGAAACUCAGGUCCCUGUCAUCAGACUUUGCUGAUUUGGUAUCUAGAAAAAAUGAAAGUAAGAAACAGGGAUUGGGUGACUCAGUGAGUUUUGACCAGCAAAGACUCGACUUAACCAACCAGGAAAUCCAACCAGAAGAGUCAGAUACAUUCCAGACUCGCUCUCAUGCUCCCUUGUCCCUCCCUCCAGACUUAUCAAGAAGUUAUCAACAUCGUUACAGCUCCCCUCCGUACUCUACACUCAUGUCCACCAGGCUUGCACAUGGGGAAUUCAAGACAUUACCACCAAGAUCACCUCGAUUCUCACAAUCCCCUCAAUCUAAUCGCACACAACUAAUUUCUUUAAAAACUGACAUAAUCGCAGCCAAGCCCAAUGUAAGAACUCUAUCUUCUACCAGCCCAUCCCAGCCUUCAUCUUUGCCUCUUCAAAUUCAAGCUGCCACUAAAGUUAAUGAAAAAUGUGUGAUUUCAGAAAGAGUCAAUUUGGGACCACAGUCUCAACAGAACAAUACGGUGCAUGACCCCUCCCCUUCAUACAUAUCAGCGACUAAAUCUAAGGUCAACACAGAUAUUACCCAACCUUUGGAUAGUCUUGAAAACACAGCUGUUUCUAUAAAAACCUACCAAUUUAAGAAAACCGCAGAUGAACCGCAUGGUCUCUCAGAGCAUAACUUCAAUGUAAGCUUGUCAACAGAUCGUCCACCUCAAGCUGGGGAGAGAAAAAAAGAUUGUCACAUAGGCAAGAGCAAAUUUCUGUCCCUGAACAAUAACCCAGAACCAAGUCCAAAGAAAAGCUGGUUUUCCUUAAAGAAAAGUUUGAGCACUCCAAAUGCCAGUUCAGUGCGGUCUGAGUCAGAGAGAGCCAGUAAGAGUGGCAAGAUGGACCAGGUUUUCAACAAGCUCAAGCAAAAACUCAGCAUAAGACAGUCCGAGGACGAGCCAUCAUACCCCAGGAAAUGCAGACGAAGCUCUGAAACGCCUUCUGUGGGUGGAAUAAGUGACAUCAGUAAUUUCAGCGAUAUCAGCAAUGACAGUACUAAGACUCUUGAGGAGAGAGUUCAGGAGAAAGAGAAUGACCCUAAUGGUGGUAGAAAAGAUGAGGAGGGCACAGAUAGGUGGGCACAAAAUAGGUACACCAUCACACCGUUUUCAUCUACAGGAAGGAUAGCACCAAGUGAUUCCUUCUCAAGUCCUUGUCUUGAAACAGCUGCUUUUGAAGACAAUAUAACUGAAAAUCCAGGCCAACAUAACUUGAGAGUCCAUAGCCCAAUAAUUAUUGAGGCAGACUUUUCCAAAGACAAGAGGACACCAGAAAUUCAGUGCCUUCCAAGCAGUCCAUGCCGAAGUCCUGAUCCUUCUGCUGAUUAUGCAUCACAACACAGAAAGUCCACACCAAGCCCCAGGAGCCCAUUCUCCCCCUUUGGCUCACUCUCUCCACAUUCUCCAUUGUCCUUAACUGAUGCAUCGGACGAUGUCUUUUUUAGCCCAAAGCUGAAUAGACGCAAAGAAACCUCAUCUCCUCAACCAGCUGAAGGACUCUGCCUGACAGGGUCACGAAAACAUCGGGCAUCAACGGGUCCACCAAGUAUAGAUCCAGGACAGAACAGUGAUUGCUUGGAAUCCCUAUACGCAGACUUAAAGUACGGCAUUGAACCGGGGAGGACAUUCUCUGUUAGUUCGGUUCUAUCAAGUCGCCCAUCUGGGCCGGGCCGAAUAUCUACAGGAUCUAGGUUCAUGAGUGUUGGUGAUCUCUCUCAGCCCAACACCUUUUCCAAAGGACAAUGGAAGGUCACUCAGGAUGGGACCACAGAGGUGGAUGGCCAGCCUUCUACUGACCAGAAUUCUUAUUUCCUCGGUGAUCUCGGAGAAAUGAGAUCAAGGUCUCUACCCCGAUCCUUAUCCAGGUGUUUGGCAAACUGGAGCUCUGACAUCACAAAGCCAACUGACCUUCAGGGUGCCAACAGGAGUUUUGAACUGGACACAGAGGAUCCUUUAACGCCACAUCCCACUCCUCCCAAUUCACCCAUAUCUAGACGAAUGUCCAAACCUCCAAGCCCAACUUUAUCCAGUUCAUCUGGAUCGCCCCAGUCAGCCGACAGCCCGUCGUCCAGAGGACGUUUACCCUCCCAUGGGUACGUGUCCAGCCUCAGCACUUUUAAGGAAUCUUCAGACAGCAGCUCGGACACAACAACGGACGACGAAUACUACUUGGACUCAGACGAUGAGGGAGAAAAGGAAACUGAAUUAUGAAAGCUGAAUGGUUGCUUUGAACACUGCUUGAUUCAGAACAAUAAAGAGGAUCAGGAGCUUCA